rnacentral:tRNA from 1 species
CCCUGGCGCAUGUCUAAUGCACAUCAAUGAGCUUGCAACUCACCAUGAACUUCACCACAGAGCCGAU